rnacentral:rRNA from 1 species
AGAGUUUGAUCAUGGCUCAGGAUGAACGCUAGCUACAGGCUUAACACAUGCAAGUCGAGGGGAAACGACAUCGAAAGCUUGCUUUUGAUGGGCGUCGACCGGCGCACGGGUGAGUAACGCGUAUCCAACCUGCCCAUCACUUGGGGAUAACCUUGCGAAAGUAAGACUAAUACCCAAUGACGUCUCUAGAAGACAUCUGAAAGAGAUUAAAAGAUUUAUCGGUGAUGGAUGGGGAUGCGUCUGAUUAGCUUGUGGCGGGGUAACGGGCCACCAAGGCGACGAUCAGUAGGGGUUCUGAGAGGAAGGUCCCCCACAUUGGAACUGAGACACGGUCCAAACGUCCUACGGGAGGCGA